rnacentral:rRNA from 1 species
GAUGAACGCUGGCUACAGGCUUAACACAUGCAAGUCGUGGGGAAACGGCAUUAUGUGCUUGCACAUUCUGGACGUCGACCGGCGCACGGGUGAGUAUCGCGUAUCCAACCUGUCCCUUACUUGGGGAUACCCCGUUGAAAGACGGCCUAAUACCCGAUGUGUUUCAUUGACGGCAUCCGAUAUGAAACAAAGGUUUUCCGGUAAGGGAUGGGGAUGCGUCUGAUUAGCUUGUUGGCGGGGCAACGGCCCACCAAGGCGACGAUCAGUAGGGGUUCUGAGAGGAAGGUCCCCCACAUUGGAACUGAGACACGGUCCAAACUCCUACGGGAGGCAGCAGUGAGGAAUAUUGGUCAAUGGACGCAAGUCUGAACCAGCCAAGUAGCGUGCAGGAUGACGGCCCUAUGGGUUGUAAACUGCUUUUAUGUGGGAAUAAAGUGGCGCACGUGUGCGCCAUUGCAUGUACCUCAUGAAUAAGGACCGGCUAAUUCCGUGCCAGCAGCCGCGGUAAUACGGAAGGUCCGGGCGUUAUCCGGAUUUAUUGGGUUUAAAGGGAGUGUAGGCGGUCUGUUAAGCGUGUUGUGAAAUUUAGGUGCUCAACAUUUAACUUGCAGCGCGAACUGUCAGACUUGAGUACACGCAGCGCAGGCGGAAUUCAUGGUGUAGCGGUGAAAUGCUUAGAUAUCAUGAGGAACUCCGAUCGCGAAGGCAGCCUGCGGGAGUGUUACUGACGCUUAAGCUCGAAGGUGCGGGUAUCGAACAGG